GCUUACGGCCAUACCACUGAACACGCCCGAUCUCGUCCGAUCUCGGAAGCUAAGCAGGGUCGGGCCUGGUUAGUACUUGGAUGGGAGACCGCCUGGGAAUACCAGGUGCUGUAAGCU
rnacentral:rRNA from 1 species